GACGAACGCUGGCGGCGUGCUUAACACAUGCAAGUCGAACGGAAAGGCCCUGCUUGCAGGGUACUCGAGUGGCGAACGGGUGAGUAACACGUGGGUGCUCUGCCCUGCACUUCGGGAUAAGCCUGGGAAACUGGGUCUAAUACCGGAUAGGAGCCAUUUUUAGUGUGAUGGUUGGAAAGUUUUUUCGGUGUAGGAUGAGCUCGCGGCCUAUCAGCUUGUUGGUGGGGUAAUGGCCUACCAAGGCGGCGACGGGUAGCCGGCCUGAGAGGGUGGACGGCCACAUUGGGACUGAGAUACGGCCCAGACUCCUACGGGAGGCAGCAGUGGGGAAUAUUGCACAAUGGGCGCAAGCCUGAUGCAGCGACGCCGCGUGGGGGAUGACGGCCUUCGGGUUGUAAACUCCUUUCACUAGGGACGAAGCUUUUUGUGACGGUACCUAGAUAAGAAGCACCGGCUAACUACGUG
rnacentral:rRNA from 1 species